UCGAGAAUCUUUCACAAUGGGGGCAACCCUGAUGGAGCGACGCCGCGUGGAGGAUAAGGUCUUCGGAUUGUAAACUCCUGUCAUGCGAGAACAAGGUACCCGGGUUAAUAACCCGGUUGUUUGAUGGUACCGCAAGAGGAAGAGACGGCUAACUCUGUGCCAGCAGCCGCGGUAAUACAGAGGUCUCAAGCGUUGUUCGGAAUCACUGGGCGUAAAGGGUGCGUAGGCUGCGCCGUAAGUCAGAUGUGAAAGCUCAGGGCUCAACCCUGAAAUUGCAUCCGAUACUGCGGUGCUUGAGAAAUGAAGGGGAGUCUAGAAUUUUCGGUGUAGCAGUGAAAUGCGUAGAUAUCGAAAGGAAUACCAAAGGCGAAGGCAGGACUCUGGGCAUUUUCUGACGCUGAUGCACGAAGGCCAGGGUAGCGAACGGGAUUAGAUACCCUUGUAGUCCCUGAGCGGGCUGGCAAGGCGCAU
rnacentral:rRNA from 1 species